rnacentral:lncRNA from 1 species
AAGGGCGUGGUUUAAAUGGUGCUGGGAAGCCAGGGGGAAGUUGAAAUCAGAGGCAUCCAGGGAUAACAGGAACUCAGAACCGGGGCAUCACAGGUGGACGGCUGACCCACCUUUCCCAGGAGCUCUACAAGUAAAAUGACCCUUCCUUAAUCUCUAGCUGCUUGCCUUUUUCCUCUCCUUCACUGGCCGUUUCUCCUUCCAUUUCCCAACAUGAUCAUUAUUGAAAUUCAGCCCUUGGUCUCGUUUGUUCUUGUUCGGCUUUCUAGAUUAGUUACCUCCUUCUGUUAGAUGUACAGUGCAACACAAAAAUCGGCGCCGAACUGGUUCUUCAGUUUCAGUCCAUGUUUACCUCAACCUUUCCUAUCAUCUGAACCUGCCUCAGAUUUGCUAGGACUUGGCUUUCACUUAAAGCCAAACCACAAUUAACAAACACUAGCCUAACAAAAGAAUAGGGGGCAUUAUGGUUUGCAUAUGAAUGUUUUUAUGUACUUAAAUGGGAUUUAAUUUACACAGUAUAAAUAUGCUGAUAUUUCCAGGAACUUUUAGGGUGAUUUUUAUUUGGAGCAGAGCCCAAAAUUAAAGACAUUCUCAUAUUUAUCAGCGCAAUAAGAACUGUUAUGUAGUAUUCGGUAUAUGAAUUUGGAGGAAGAACUGCUUCACAGCAACUUGCCCUCUUGUAAAUGAGCAUCUAAUUAAAAGUUCGGAAUGGUUGGAUGACAUUUGUAUUCAAUCAAUAGCAAUUUCUGACUAAUUUGGUAAAGAAACAGAGUUGGUCUAAAUUGUUUAUUUUUAUUAAUAUAUAAUUCACAUACCAAAAAAUUCAUCCCUUUAAAGUGGACAAUAAAGUGAUUUUUAAUAUGUUUACAAAGUUGCACAAUUACCACUACUCUCUAAUUCUAAGACUUUUUUUUCAACCCCCAAAAGAAACCCUAUAUACACAUAGAGUAUUCUUCCUUCUUCCACCCCCUGGCAACCACUAACUUACCUUCUAUCUCUGAGGACUUGCUUGUUCUGGACAUUUUAUAUAAAUGGAAUCAUACAAUAUGUGGCUUUUUGUGUCUGACUUAUUUUACUUAGUGUUUGCAGGGUUUGUCCAUGUUGUAGCAUGUUUCAUUUCUUCAUUACUUUUUAUGGCCAAAUAAUAUUCCAUUAUAUGGAUAUAUAACAUUUUGUUUAUAUGUUCAUUAGUUGAUGGACAUUGGGUUCUUUCAACUUUUUGGCUAUUAUGAACAAUGCUUCUAUGAACAUUCUUGUAGAAGUUUUUGUGUGGAUGUAUUUUCUUAAUUCUCUUGGGUAUAAACCCAGUAGUGGAAUUGCUGGGUCAUAGGGUAAUUCUGUGUUUAACUUUGUGCAAAACUAUAAAAACUAUUUUUCAAAGAAGUUGCACCAUUUUACAUUUCCAUUAGCAGUGUAUGAGAGUUCCAACUUCUCUACAUUCUCACCAACAUUUGUUAUUAAUCUGUCUUUGUUAUCAUAGCCAUUCUAGUGAGUAUAAAUGGUUUCUCAUUGUGGUUUUGAUUUGCAUUACCCUGGUGAUUAAAGAUAUUGAGCAUCUUUUCACGUGCUUUUUUUGUUUUUUUGUUUUUGUUUUUUUUAGGGCUGCACCUGCAGCGUAUGGAGGUUCCCAGGCUAGGGGUCAAAUCAGAGCUAUAGCUGCUGCCCUAUACCACAGCCACAGCAACAUGGGAUCCGAGUAGCAUCUGCAACCUACACCACAGCUCACAGCAAUACUGGAUCCUUAGCCCACUAAGCCAGGCCAGGGAUCAAACGUGCAUCCUCAUGAAUACUAUUCAGAUUUGUUUCUGCUGAGCCAUGAUGGGAACUCCAAUUUUUUUUUUUAGAAUACUUUUUUAGUAGUUCCCGUCUUGGUGCAGCAGACACGAAUCCAACUAGGAACCAUGAGAUUGUGGGUUCCAUCCCUGGCCUUGCUCAGUGGGUUAAGGAUCCGGCAUUGCUGUGAGCUGUGAUGUAGGUGGAAGACCCGCUUGGAUCUGCCGUUGCUGUGGCUGUGGUGUAGGCUGGCAACUGUAGCUCUGAUUAGACCUCUAGCCUGGGAACCUCCAUAUGCUGUGGGUGCGGCCCUAAAAGGCGAACAAACCAACCAACCAAACAAAAAAAGAAUACUUUUUUAAAUGUUUGAUGGAAUUCACCAGUGACUCCUGGGCUCUUGCCAUAUAUCUUUUGCUGAGGCCUUCAAAGCAACCUUUGCCCAACGUCUAUCCAUCGCUUUUCCAUUCUUCUUUGCUUUUCCUUCUGACUUAGGUAGGUCAAGUUUGUGUCUCUCCCCAUCCAUGAGUGUAAAAUUUAAUGCCUCACUAAACUUGCCUCCUUCUUUGCCUGUUGUGUAUGCCUUGCAGCAAAAAAAAAAAAAAAAAAAAAAAAAAAAAAAAAAAAA